UUCACAUAUGCUUGAUUACAGAUUAAUACAAGUUCAAAAUUCAACAUAUAAAAUCAUUUAUUAAAUAGAAUCAUUACAUCCUCAAUCAACUCAAAACCCACAAAGACAUUUUAGAGAGAAGUGAUUUUAAUCAGAGAAGUUUCAAAGAGCUGAUUCUAGAGCAACUUAAUAACCUAAUAUUGGGUAAGGUGUAUCGGCCAAUAAAGUAUUUCACAAUAAUCCCAUACAAAUCAAUGGCAACCGAAUAAGAAUAAAAAUCAAUAAUUAUACCCUCGAAGUUGUACCCGGCUAAUGACUUAUUUGAUUAAUAAAUAAAUCAUGGGCUCAACAACUGAUUGAACGGUUAUGGCUGAUUGAGUCUGGGUGAGGGUUAUGACUGAAUGGCACGAGAAAGCAAAGAGAAGGAAGAAUGAGAAGAAACAAUCCGUGGGGAGAAAAUAAAAAGUGAGGAUAGGAAAAGAAAAG
rnacentral:lncRNA from 1 species